GCCUGUUUUCUCUUUGUGACCAGGAG
rnacentral:piRNA from 1 species